CGCUCCCCAUACAACUUGACAGAGCUUGAGAGGAUCUGCAGAGAAGAAUGGGAGAAACUGCCCAAAUACCGGUGUGCCAAGCUUGUAGCGUCAUACCCAAGACUUGAAGCUGUAAUCGCUGUGGCAAAGUACUGAGUAAAGGGUCUGAAUACUUAGGCAACACCACAACCACACUGAUCUGGAAUAGUACCACCAUAGUACUAGAAGAGGAAUUAUUGUUUGUGUAUAAAAACAUAAUACAAUCAAUAUGCAACAAGGCUAAUAUUCAGUCCAUUGAAUAAAACAUGAUCCCUAAGGUAAGUCUGAAGGCACUAGGCUUCAUUCCUUUACUAGGCUGUUAAUCCUUAUUGUGGCUUGUUUCUAAUGAUACCAGGAUUGGAGUCACUAGCAUCUAUAGGCUUUGACUGGAUAAAGGCUGUGAAUUGUGAAAGCUGAUGAAAAACAUGCAUGUCUUGUUUCACUGUAGUCCUACCUGUUCGUCAUAUCUCUCUAUUUUCACAGGGGUAAACUGGUCCACGUUGUACUGUGCAAAAGCACUAAAGAAACAGACACACAGGUACAAGGUUUAAUCAGUGCCAAUAAUGAAUGACUUCCUGGAGAAACAAAGACCUCAUCUUUCUAGUUGGUUAAUAAUGUACUCAUGCUGUUGAUAGUUUGACGUGAGCAGACCACGGGUCUAUAUUUCAUCACUUACUGUGCUGCACCUUCCCUGAGCAGAUUGUCAUUGUUGAGCAGCAAUCGUACAUCUGUGGGAAGUACAGAACCACACGUCAGAGUUCAGAAACCUACAGCACACAAACACACAGGAGGAUUCACAUCAAAUCACAUCCCUCUCUAUCAUACAUAAACAUUCCAGUCACAGGGCUCUCAUGGAGACAAAACUCAGACAGAAGGGCAACCAGUGGAGCACAAACCCCAUUGUAAAUACAAUCUAUUUUCCCUUUCAUACAUCAACUAUUAGCACAACACUGUACAUAGCCAAUAAUACCAUUUGAAAUUGUUUAAAUGUUGAGUGAAAUGUUUACUGUUCACUUUGACUGUUUAUUUCACUUGCUUUGGCAAUGUAUACAUGUUCCCAUGACAAUAAAGCCCCUGAGAGAGAGAGAACGAGUAAUGUUUACUAAUGUUUCCCUUUUGUUAAUUGUAUAUUCCAUUUGCUUUGGCAAUGUAAACAUACGUUUCCCAUGCCAAUGAGGCCCUUUAUAUUGAAUAGAGAGAGACCAAAAGAGAGAGAGACUGACAGCCUGUCUUCUCGAGAGCCAGGUCUCGCUAUGUCUCAGCCUCCAGUAUUUAUGCUGCAGUAGUUUGUGUUGGGGGGCUAGGGUCAGUUUGUUAUAUCUGGAGUACUACUCCUGUCCUAUUCGGUGUCCUGUGUGAAUUUAAGUGUGCUCUCUAAUUCUCUCUUUCUUUCUUUCUCCUCUCUCUCUCUCGGAGGACCUGAUCCCUAGGACCAUGUCUCAGGACUACCUGACAUGAUGACUCCUUGCUGUCCCCAGUCCACCUGGCCGUGCUGCUGCUCCAGUUUCAACUGUUCUGCCUUAUUUAUUGGACCAUGCAGGUCAUUUAUGAACAUUUGAACAUCUUGGCCAUGUUCUGUUAUAAUCUCCACCCGGCACAGCCAGAAGAGGACUGGCCACCCCACAUAGCCUGGUUCCUCUCUAGGUUUCUUCCUAGGUUUUGGCCUUUCUAGGGAGUUUUUCCUAGCCACCGUGCUUCUACACCUGCAUUGCUUGCUGUUUGGGGUUUUAGGCUGGGUUUCUGUACAGCACUUUGAGAUAUCAGCUGAUGUACGAAGGGCUAUGUAAAUACAUUUGAUUUGAUUUAUGUACACACUGCCCACAAAAUGAGCUGCACUUCCUAACCUUCUGCCAAAUGUAUAACCAGAGAGACACAUAUUUCCCUCAGAUUACACAGACCCACAAAGAACUUGAAAAAAAAUCCAAUUUUGAUAAACUCCCAUAUCUAUUGGGUGAAAUACCAGUGUGCCAUCACAGCAGCAAGAUGUGACCUGUUGCCACAAGGGCAACCAGUGAAGAACAAACACCAUUGUAAAUACAAUCCAUAUUUUUGUUAUUUAUUUUCCCUUUUGUACAUCAUUACAACACUGCACACACACAAUAUGACAUUUGAAAUGUCUUCAUUGUUUUGAUACUUCGUGAGUAAUGAUUCCUGUUAUUUUUUUAUUUCACUUUUGUUUAUUAUCCAUUUCACUUGCUUUGGCAAUGUAAACAUGUUUCCCCAUGCCAAUAAAGCCCAUUAAGGGUCGGACCCUUUUUUUCAA